rnacentral:rRNA from 1 species
AUUGAACGCUGGCGGCAUGCCUUACACAUGCAAGUCGAACGGUAACAGGUCUUCGGAUGCUGACGAGUGGCGAACGGGUGAGUAAUACAUCGGAACGUGCCUAGUGGUGGGGGAUAACUACUCGAAAGAGUGGCUAAUACCGCAUGAGAUCUACGGAUGAAAGCAGGGGAUCGCAAGACCUUGUGCUAUUAGAGCGGCCGAUGGCAGAUUAGGUAGUUGGUGGGAUAACAGCUUACCAAGCCGACGAUCUGUAGCUGGUCUGAGAGGACGAUCAGCCACACUGGGACUGAGACACGGCCCAGACUCCUACGGGAGGCAGCAGUGGGGAAUUUUGGACAAUGGGCGAAAGCCUGAUCCAGCAAUGCCGCGUGCAGGAUGAAGGCCUUCGGGUUGUAAACUGCUUUUGUACGGAACGAAAAGCCCCGGGUUAAUACCCUGGGGUCAUGACGGUACCGUAAGAAUAAGCACCGGCUAACUACGUGCCAGCCGCCGCCGUAA